UUUUUGUUUUAUUUUAAAUUAAUUUUAUUUUUUGCUCAGGGGCCACCUUAAGAAAUAGAUUGGGGGGGGGGUGUGGUAUUGGCUUUUGCUGUAUGAUUGACUGUGUGUCCUGAUUAUUUGCCAAGUCUUAUUAAAAGUCCCUGAGAUCACUCAGUACCUUGGCCCUUACACCCCAUCAUCCAUCAAUUCAGAAUGUCAAACCUGAUUACCAGGACUCUCUCUGAAGCCCCUUCUAAGCCAUUAGUGAGGGAAAGCUGUGUCUUGGUGCCUGCAUGAUGUAAAUGCACCUCAUCAAGGCUUCCAACUCCAGGGCAACUCAUUAUGCUUCAGAAUAGCAUUGACAAUGUUAACCUCCUAAACCAAGGGGACAUUUGCAAUUUUAAAUUUGAACUUAUUAGGGGGAUUUUGUUUACUUUUGUCUUCAUUGUUACUACAUCCUACCAAAAGGCAACUUCAAUUCAAAUUCUAAAUUAUAUACUUAGUUCACAAAAACAGGUUAAAUGAUGUUUAAACAGCAAACAAGAAUGUAACUGAAUCUCAAUGAAAAUCACUCAAAACAGAAACUACAUAAAAGGGAUUCUUCACAAUUUGCCUACUUUCCAAAAAAUUUCUAACCUUGGGAAUUAGCUAAAUUUAGUUACAUCAGAUUCAGUUCUCACUAAUCCACUAUAAUAAGGAUGACUUGCAAACACAAGGAUGGUGUUGAUUGGUUUUGGUAGUUUCAUUGAGUGAUGAGGGGGAUUACAGGUGAAAAUACACUGCUUAGGAGCAACUCACAUCUGUGUCCGUUGAUAUGCUCCAGAAUUGAGUGUGUACUAUCAGUAAAAUACCUAACUUGAAAUGGCUGUGGCUCUUCAUGUGAAGAAAAUAUGGUAAAUAAAGGUACUUAAAUCUCUCUACUACCCCUUACAAGCCCCUUUAGAUCUGCUACUUCCAUAGCAACAGUAGCAGCAUUAGCAAUGCAAUAUAUCUUUAAAAAAUUCAGUUUACUGUGAUGUCAUUUACAACACCUACUGAGGAUAUUUGUACUCAGUUGGCUGUUACUGAAAACACCUACCUAAAUUCCCUGGUACAGGGCCACAGGCGGCCUAUAAAAUCCUUGACCUCUGGGGACUUGCAUGCUCUUUGGGGACCUGCCACUUUCAUUCAGAUAUUUUUUAAAAGUGACCAGUUUUAAUGGUCCUUCAGUGCUUCUGAGCAAAGUGCAAAUGGUUGUCCUGAAAGUUCAAGAUCACAUUAAACUUGACCUUAUCUCAAAUCCUAACCUUUUGCAGCUGACUCCAAAUGGCUCCCCAACAUACUCUGCACUUUUUUUGCCCUAAGCUAAAACUUUCAUUCUCAUUACUCAUUUUCUUUUCCUGAAAAGUCAGAAGCUACCAAUUCCCCAUCUUGUGUUUAAAUGAUAAAUAAGUUGCUCCUGGUAGCCAAGCUAAGAAAUCCUUAGAGCUGGACUUUAGUACGUCUCUCUAGGGCUCUACAGUUGCAACCUCCAUGCUCUGUCUGCCACGUUCAUUUUGAACAUAUGCAUGCAUAUUGAAAUCUGCACUAUGAGAUCAGGACUUUCUUUCAAGAAAAGGCAGUGUUCUGUUUUGUUUUGUAUCACCCAUAGUAAACAUUCAUUGUUGGAGAAGUGAAUGACUCAGUCAGAUUGGAAGCCAAAGAUCCCACAGCCAGUAGGUGUUUCACACUGCUUUAGGGGGUAGGGGUGGAGAGCUCUAUUGGAAGCUGAGUUUCUCUUAGUUUCUAAACAGAAUUAGGGCUCUGGGAGGACCAGCCCACUUAAAUUGGACAAUCGGGGUUGCUAAUUCCUUAUGUGCCUGGUAGUUGAUCAACGUAGCCUUUUAUGCUCUUUAUAUGUCACCAUGUUUAUAAGAGAAUAUCUAUUGGAACUCAAACAUCUAAAGAUGUUCUCCCUGAACCUUCCUGGCUUGGACAAACUUCCUGAAUCCCAGGGUUCAAGAGUGAACCUAGUUACCUUCCUAGUGAUAUGACUGGCAAAUAUGUCAUCACUUGAUGACAGAAACUGAUGUUAGAAGCUGUUUGUUUAUUAAUUCAUUUUUAUUCAACAAAUAUAUAAAUUUAGUAGUGUCAUGUUCUAAGUGCAUCACUAACACUAACUCACAUAAACUCCGUGCUGCCCUUAGAAGUAUUUGAAAUAAUUACUCAUUUUUUGGGUAGACAAACAGGUAAAAUUAAGUGAUGAUUUUUUUUCUGUCUCAGAUUUCUUUGUUCCAGAGAAUAUAUUUCUAAAUUUUACAUAGAUGUGUUAUGGGUUCUACCAGUGGGGUUUUACAUAAAAUCCCAGAUGAAAAACAGUCACUAGUGAAUCUGCUGAUUGAAGCAGGGAUCGUGGGCCAAGGUUACUCCGAUUUCAGAGGCAUCUUCCUCUGUACCUCAUGCAGCAUGUCUAAGGACCUCUUUAUAGAUGCUUACAAAUUACUGAGGACCUCAAUGAGCCUUUGAUUAUGUGAUUUGUCAAUAUUUAGUGGGGCAGAAAUCUUUAAAGUUGGAGAAUAUUUGUUAACUCUUUAAAAAAAUGAAUAGUAAUCCAUUACAUGUUAAUAUAAUAAUUAACAUUAAUGUUAAUAUAAACAUUCUUUUAAUGAAAAUAACUAUAUUUUCUGAAAUUAAAAAAUGGGGGAAACAGUGACAUUGUUCCAUUUUUGUAAGUCUUUGUAAUGUUUCUCUUAAUAGAAGACUGCAAUUCUCAUAUCUGCUUCUGCAUUCACUCUCUCCUGCAGUAAGUUGGUUUGGCGGAAGUCUAUCCAGAUGAACCAGUCUCACACAUGGGUAGCUGGAAAAGAAAGGACUGCAUUCAUAACUUAUACAGAUCCCUGUGGAUAUUCUUUGGUAGUUUCUGAAAGGUUAGUUGCAAUGGUCUUCUCAUGUUCUAUUAAACUUCAUCGCUCAAAGUUCUUCUUCAAAUCUGAGUGGAUCUACUAUGGAUGCAUGACUCCUAUCAUCUUGCGUUAGUCACUGAUAGAGUAUUAUUCACUGAAUUAUGCAGAUCUUCUAGAUGUUGACAGACUUCAGUAUGCAAUAUCAAAAAGUCAUAUUUGUGAAUAUCAUCACCAAUCUUAUCGGAAAAGUCUUUCUGAUAUUGGGAGACUGUCAAGCAUACAGUAGGGGAUAAAGGUUUUUCAAAAUUUUAAUUUUUAUUUGAAAGGUCAAAUUUUACCGCUGGACCAAAUUCUGUCAGUUAUCUUCCUUGAAGUGACAGGCUUACCUUGAAUCGUUUUUAAGAAAACAUCUGCUAAAUAUCUAUAGUCUCAAUAAUCAGUUUUACUAUUCAUUGCCCUUUAAAGUAAAAGUAGUGUUCCAUUAAAAACAAACACAAAAUAAAACCCAAUAAUUCAGCUUACAACUCAACUGCACAGUGCUCUUCCUUGACACACUCAUCCUAUUUGUGAAUGCUCCCAAAUUAUUUUGUGUGAACUUCCCAUUUCUUCACAUAGAGUAUUAAGAAGACAUGUGUUUAAGGAUGGAGAUUUAAUAAAAUUAAUAGUCUUAUGGCUGCAUAAGGGACAUUCUCAAGUUGCUUUUUCCUAUGUGUGUGUGACAGUGGAGAAUACAUUAUAACACUUGUGCAAUACGAGUGUGACUGGGUCCCAGGUCCCUAUUUGUGCUAAGGCACCAGUAGUUUACCCAUCAUUGCAAAUGUCAAAGUAGUGAAGCAGGCAAAGAACAUGUUAGUAUUAUUGUGAAAAUACUUUUGACAUUGCAUGUCCCUACAAGAAUCUGGGAGACCCUCAGGGGUCUCGGGCUACAUGUUGAGAAUGGUUGCUCUUUGGCAUUAGGAUUCAAAGUUUGUUAUGGGUUCACAUCAUGUUAGAAGACAAGAGAAGUUUAGACAGAAUGGUUCCAUCAGGGUCGCAUGCAGAGAGCAAAGUCCAGAACUUCCAAAGCUCUGCCUUCCAGACCCACCCCAUCUCCAUCUCUGGUGACCCACCAAGCACCAGUCUUGCUAACUUUCCUAGGUCUUUUUACAGAGGGCCAUCUAACUGACCUUGCUGUCAGCAUCUCACACAAAGUACAACAGUGCUGGAAAAGAAACAAAUGGUUCACCUUUUUAAAACUCCCAGUGUAUGGGACUCCUGGGUGGCUCAGUGUUUGAGCAUCUCCCUCUGGCUCAGGGCGUGAUCCUGGGGUCCUGGGAUGGAGUCCCACAUCAGGCUCCCAGAAGGGAGCCUACUUCUCCUUCUGUUUCUCUCUCUGCUCCUCAUCCCACCUGUGCUCACUCACUGUCAUGCUCACUCUCUCAAAUAAAUAAAUAAGAUCUUAAAAAAAAAAAAAAACCUCCCAGUGUGGGUGACAGGAAACCAUCAUAACUUCUAAGUGGUUAUGUGAGUUUUAUUCUUUUUUUGGAUAGACGACAUUUGGUUCUGAACAAGUAAUUUUAGAUAUCUCAGAUUAUUAUAAAAAGUACCUGCUUAGUGAAAAAGAAAACGUCUGGAGAAUUUAAAUAUGAAAUAGUUUCUAAAUGGAGAAAAGACUAUUUUUCCUAAGAGAGUAAAACAUCUGUGUAUUUCCAAAGCAUACUGGUUUUCUUUACCUGAGGUUAGGCAACUAUGGCUCCCUGCAGGCAAACAAGAUAAACGAUGGAACUACUUCAACAUUACCAUUAGAUUUGUCCAUUUAUGUUUAAUAACUAUUUCUUAAGGGAAAAGUUCUAAGUUCAAUUGAUUCAAAUAUAUGCAUAUAUUUGAAUUUUGAUUUUAGGAAAACAGGUCCUCACUAUAUUAACUUUUCUUUUUACCUUCUCAAAUACAAAAAUAUAAGGCUUGAUUUUAAUAAAAUGCUAAAACUCAGCAACAUAAUAGCAAGUAAUAAAUCAUCUCUUCAUAUCACCUGAGAGCCAUAAGUUGAGGAAAAGAUGAAUUAACAAAUUGGAGAAUAUAUUAUGCCUCUGUCUCCCUAUCAUGGCCCUUCCCUAUCAUGGCCCAUUUAAUUAUCUGUCUAUCUCCUCCACCAGCCACUGAAACAAGGCAUAUCCUAUAACGUGCCCACCACUGUGUCAUUUCCAUCAAGCACACACCUGACACGUGGUGGGUAGAUAUGUAGUCGACAAAGUGCUCAGUGACGCAGAAUCAUAAGAAUGGACAUAAUUAUAUGUCUGUAUAUAUAAAAUGACAUAUAAAAUCACCAUUACAUAUUAGCAAUGAUCCUUUAAAAUACCACAAAGGAAAAUGUAUCAAUAAACUAGCAUGCUCUAAGGGAACAUGCACAUGCAUGUAUACAGCAUACAACAACAGAUAAUCAUUUUAAAAGUACAAGUGGUUAGUAAAUCUCUUUUCCAAAAGAACAAAUUAAAGACAAUGCUCACUGGAAUUAGCUUAAAAAUUAGACCUGUACUCAUUCAUUUGGGGAAUAUAAAUAAUAGUGAAAGGGAAUAGAAGGGAAGGGAGAAGAAAUGGGCAGGAAAUAUCAGAAAGGGAGACAGAACAUAGAGACUCCUAACUCUGGGAAACGAACUAGGGGUGGUGGAAGGGGAGGAGGGCAGGGGGGUGGGGUGAAUGGGUGACGGGCACUGAGGGGGGCACUUGACGGGAUGAGCACUGGGUGUUAUUCUGUAUGUUGGCAAAUUGAACGCCAAUAAAAAAUAAAUUUAUUAUUAAAAAAAUAAAAAAUAUUAGACCUGUAGUUUACCAGCACGUCCUAUACAGUCCUGUUCUUACAUAGAUGGUUUGCCAGUCUGAUGUUAAUACACUGGCAGCUUUAGAUAGAAGAUGUCUGCCUGAAAGAAAACAGGGAGAGGCACUCCAGGUAUGACCUGCAUUCCACAGCGACAUCCACUCAUUGCUGUGACACCAACAUCAUUCUUAUCAUCAAUGUACACACACACACAGCAUACACACACGUACACAUAUACUUCUUUCUCCUACCAGGAUCCCACAUUUUGUCAUGACAACACUAAUCACAAAUCAAGUAGAAUCCACUAGAGCCUAAAAUGUUGAGAGGGGACCCUAGAUCUGAUG
rnacentral:lncRNA from 1 species